rnacentral:rRNA from 1 species
GACGAACGCUGGCGGCGUGCUUAACACAUGCAAGUCGAACGGAAAGGCCCUGCUUUUGUGGGGUGCUCGAGUGGCGAACGGGUGGGUAACACGUGAGUAACCUGCCCUUGACUUUGGGAUAACUUCAGGUAACUGGGGCUAAUACCGGAUAGGCGCUCCUGCUGCAUGGUGGGGGUUGGAAAGUUUCGGAGGUUGGGGAUGGACUCGCGGCUUAUCAGCUUGUUGGUGGGGUAGUGGCUUACCAAGGCUUUGACGGGUAGCCGGCCUGAGAGGGUGACCGGCCACAUUGGGACUGAGAUACGGCCCAGACUCCUACGGGAGGCAGCAGUGGGGAAUAUUGCACAAUGGGCGGAAGCCUGAUGCAGCAACGCCGCGUGCGGGAUGACGGCCUUCGGGUUGUAAACCGCUUUCGCAUGUGACGAAGCGUGAGUGACGGUAAUGGGUAAAGAAGCACCGGCUAACUACGUG